CGUCGCUGUCCUUUCAAGCCUGAACUGACAGACCUGGGCCCUCAGCCCUGGACCGAAGAACAGAAAACGGCGGAGCCAAUGUCUAAGGCGCCCGCCCUACAAGAAAUUUCGGAUGUACGCACACCUCAGGACGAGGUGUUGAUCGACC
rnacentral:sRNA from 18 species